CAGUCGCCGCGGUAAUACGAAGGGGGCUAGCGUUGUUCGGAAUUACUGGGCGUAAAGCGCACGUAGGCGGAUAUUUAAGUCAGGGGCGAAAUCCCGCAGCUCAACUGCGGAACUGCCUUUGAUACUGGGUAUCUUGAGUAUGGAAGAGGUUAGUGGAAUUGCGAGUGUAGAGGUGAAAUUCGUAGAUAUUCGCAGGAACACCAGUGGCGAAGGCGGCUAACUGGUCCAUAACUGACGCUGAGGUGCGAAAGCGUGGGGAGCAAACAGGAUUAGAUACCCCAGUAGUCCCUGUCUCUUAUAC
rnacentral:rRNA from 1 species